rnacentral:rRNA from 1 species
CGGGACGGGUGAGUAACGCGUGGGUAACCUGCCUUGUACAGGGGGAUAACAGUUGGAAACGGCUGCUAAUACCGCAUAAGCGCACGGCAUCGCAUGAUGCAGUGUGAAAAACUCCGGUGGUAUAAGAUGGACCCGCGUUGGAUUAGCUAGUUGGUGGGGUAACGGCCCACCAAGGCGACGAUCCAUAGCCGACCUGAGAGGGUGACCGGCCACAUUGGGACUGAGACACGGCCCAA